ensembl:lncRNA
UGCAUGUUUACUUCACCACCGACUGAAACCGAACACUGACUGAAAACAUUUGCAUCCCAUUUUAUCAAAAUGAAGGGAACCUUUGCCACCCAGGCUCCUUCAGAUGGCCUGCUAAUGAGUGACUAGCAGACAAUUAAUAUUAAUAGUGGCUUUCGGGAAUUUUUUUAAACUCUCUUCAGUUUUGCUUUUCUCCAUAUGGGAGUUGGGACCGUGGCAGCUGCCGUAAGUGACGUUACUUGUGAGACUGAGAGGAGACAGACAGAUAGACUAAAGCUAUGUCAACUUCAGAGCAAAAAUGAAAGUCAUACCUUUAAAUAAUCCUGAAGGACUUGAGCUGUCUUACCAGGAGAGGCUGGGAGCCAGCUUUUUCUCUUGAGUGUUGGCAUAUGGAUAAACACAUGAUACACAUAUGUGUAUGUGGAGAUCAUCACAGACUGUCCCAGUGCUGAAGGUCAUUUGUUGACCAAGAGGAAUGAUGACCAUACACACGCAAGGUCUACAGCUUCUCAUGUUGCCUACCCAAGAGGUUCCUGACUCAGAGCUCGAGAACUGUGCCUACAUGAUUUAUAGUUCUCUUUUAUCUUUUUCAAGAAGUCCUACCUUUUGGGAGAAGUCUUAAGACCAGGAAUUUCUAAUGCUUGCUUGUCACCAGUUGAGAGAAUUUCAGAGUUGUGGGAAGUGAGCCUCAUUCAUUCAGAACCCGAAUGAGAAAUGGAUCUCCUAAAGAAUCUGAAAGACACCAUUGAAGGAGAGAAGAAACACAUACUUUCUACGCGUAAUGAACUCAGUAGGUCACAGGGAAUGAUUUUAUGCAGAGGAAGUGUCAGUGCCGUUGUUAAUGUUUCUUCCCGAAAUUUCUGAGUUAUGCUUUUGAAAAGAACAUCUGUCUCUUAUUGUCCAGUUUGUUGUUCUGUAGUGUGUCAGAAUUCACCAUCCUUUCCUUUGCAUGCUUGUUCUGGUUUUAAGUUUGUUUGCUGAUCCAUAUGCUUCCUUGUGCUCUCCUGUGAAUGUCUUCCAGCAUUUUCCAGGCUCACCAGAAACACCCAAAUUCUAACAGUAAUGCUAGCCCGAGUAAUGCUAGCCCGAGUAAUGCUAGCCCAUAUUGAGCUCACUACAUGUGUUGUGUUUAUGUUGGGUCAUAUAAAUAGGUUACAAA